GUGUCAGCAGCCGCGGUAAUACGUAGGUGGCAAGCGUUGUCCGGAAUUAUUGGGCGUAAAGGGCUCGCAGGCGGUUUCUUAAGUCUGAUGUGAAAGCCCCCGGCUCAACCGGGGAGGGUCAUUGGAAACUGGGGAACUUGAGUGCAGAAGAGGAGAGUGGAAUUCCACGUGUAGCGGUGAAAUGCGUAGAGAUGUGGAGGAACACCAGUGGCGAAGGCGACUCUCUGGUCUGUAACUGACGCUGAGGAGCGAAAGCGUGGGGAGCGAACAGGAUUAGAUACCCCGGUAGUCC
rnacentral:rRNA from 1 species